GUGGGGAAUCUUAGACAAUGGGCGCAAGCCUGAUCUAGCCAUGCCGCGUGAUCGAUGAAGGCCUUAGGGUUGUAAAGAUCUUUCAGUGGGGAAGAUAAUGACUGUACCCACAGAAGAAGCCCCGGCUAACUCCGUGCCAGCAGCCGCGGUAAUACGGAGGGGGCUAGCGUUGUUCGGAAUUACUGGGCGUAAAGCGCACGUAGGCGGACCAGAAAGUCAGAGGUGAAAUCCCAGGGCUCAACCUUGGAACUGCCUUUGAAACUCCUGGUCUUGAGGUCGAGAGAGGUGAGUGGAAUUCCGAGUGUAGAGGUGAAAUUCGUAGAUAUUCGGAGGAACACCAGUGGCGAAGGCGGCUCACUGGCUCGAUACUGACGCUGAGGUGCGAAAGCGUGGGGAGCAAACAGGAUUAGAUACCCGAGUAGUCC
rnacentral:rRNA from 1 species